GGUGAACGCUGGCGGCGUGCUUAAGACAUGCAAGUCGAACGGGUGCUUCGGACCUAGUGGCGCACGGGUGAGUAACGCGUAACUGACCUACCCCAAAGUCUCGGAUAACGAUUCGAAAGAAGGGCUAAUACGUGAUGUUCUGUCAGAUUGUCUUCUGCCACUAAAGCUUGAUUGCUUUGGGAUGGGGUUGCGUUCCAUCAGCUAGUUGGUGGGGUAAAGGCCCACCAAGGCGACGACGGAUAGCCGGCCUGAGAGGGUGGCCGGCCACAGGGGCACUGAGACACGGGUCCCACUCCUACGGGAGGCAGCAGUUAGGAAUCUUCCACAAUGGGCGAAAGCCUGAUGGAGCGACGCCGCGUGAGGGAUGAAGGUCUUCGGAUCGUAAACCUCUGAAUCAGGGACGAAAGACACUUCGGUGGGAUGACGGUACCUGAGUAAUAGCACCGGCUAACUCCGUGCCAGCAGCCGCGGUAACAC
rnacentral:rRNA from 1 species